rnacentral:rRNA from 1 species
GACGAACGUUGGCGGCGUGCCUAAUACAUGCAAGUGGGACGCAAGAGAACACACUGUGCUUGCACACCGUGUUUUCUUGAGUCGCGAACGGGUGAGUAACGCGUAGGUAACCUGCCUAUUAGCGGGGGAUAACUAUUGGAAACGAUAGCUAAUACCGCAUAAUAUUAAUUAUUGCAUGAUAAUUGAUUGAAAGAUGCAAGCGCAUCACUAGUAGAUGGACCUGCGUUGUAUUAGCUAGUUGGUAAGGUAAGAGCUUACCAAGGCGACGAUACAUAGCCGACCUGAGAGGGUGAUCGGCCACACUGGGACUGAGACACGGCCCAGACUCCUACGGGAGGCAGCAGUAGGGAAUCUUCGGCAAUGGACGAAAGUCUGACCGAGCAACGCCGCGUGAGUGAAGAAGGUUUUCGGAUCGUAAAGCUCUGUUGUAAGUCAAGAACGUGUGUGAGAGUGGAAAGUCACACAGGG